GCCUGGGUGGCUCAGUCGGUUGAGCAUCCGACUUCGGCUCAGGUCAUGAUCUCGUGGUCUGUGGGUUCGAGCCCCACAUCGGGCU
rnacentral:tRNA from 1 species